GACGAACGCUGGCGGCGUGCCUAAUACAUGCAAGUCGAGCGGAGCGGCGGACGGGUGAGUAAUGCCUAGGAAUCUGCCUGGUAGUGGGGGAUAACGUCCGGAAACGGGCGCUAAUAUCGCAUACUAUCAGAUGAGCCUAGGUUGGCUUAGCUAGUUGGUGGGGUAAAGGCGUACCAAGGCGACGAUCCGUAACUGGUCUGAGAGGAUGAUCAGUCACACUGGGACUGAGACACGGUCCAGACUCCUACGGGAGGCAGCAGUGGGGAAUAUUGGGCAAUGGGCGAAAGCCUGAUCCAGCCAUGCCGCGUGUGUGAAGAAGGUCUUCGGAUUGUAAAGCACUUUUAGUUGGGAGGCGUUACCAACAGAAAAAGCAACGGCUAACUUCGUGCCAGCAGCCGCGGUAAUUC
rnacentral:rRNA from 1 species